rnacentral:rRNA from 1 species
UACGGAGGGUGCAAGCGUUGUUCGGAAUUAUUGGGCGUAAAGAGCUUGUAGGCGGUCUGUCGCGUCUGCUGUGAAAAUCCGGGGCUCAACCCCGGACUUGCAGUGGGUACGGGCAGACUAGAGUGUGGUAGGGGAGACUGGAAUUCCUGGUGUAGCGGUGGAAUGCGCAGAUAUCAGGAGGAACACCGAUAGCGAAGGCAGCUCGCUGGGACGGUACUGACGCUGAGGUGCGAAAGCGUGGGGAGCGAACAGG